rnacentral:snRNA from 1 species
GUGCUUGCUUCGGCAGCACAUAUACAAAAAUUGGAAUGAUACAGAGAAGAUUAGCAUGGCCCCUGUGCAAGAAUGACAUACUAUUUUGUGAAGCGUUCCAUAUUUUU